GAGCGAACGCUGGCGGCAGGCUUAACACAUGCAAGUCGAACGGGCGUAGCAAGUACGUCAGUGGCAGACGGGUGAGUAACGCGUGGGAACGUACCUUUUGGUUCGGAACAACCCAGGGAAACUUGGGCUAAUACCGGGGUAAAGCCCUUACGGGGAAAGAUUUAUCGCCGAAAGAUCGGCCCGCGUCUGAUUAGCUAGUUGGUGAGGUAACGGCUCACCAAGGCGACGAUCAGUAGCUGGUCUGAGAGGAUGAUCAG
rnacentral:rRNA from 1 species